CAGCACGGGCUUCGGCCUGGUGGCGAGUGGCGAACGGGUGAGUAAUACAUCGGAACAUGUCCUGUAGUGGGGGAUAGCCCGGCGAAAGCCGGAUUAAUACCGCAUACGAUCUGAGGAUGAAAGCGGGGGACCUUCGGGCCUCGCGCUAUAGGGUUGGCCGAUGGCUGAUUAGCUAGUUGGUGGGGUAAAGGCCUACCAAGGCGACGAUCAGUAGCUGGUCUGAGAGGACGACCAGCCACACUGGGACUGAGACACGGCCCAGACUCCUACGGGAGGCAGCAGUGGGGAAUUUUGGACAAUGGGCGCAAGCCUGAUCCAGCAAUGCCGCGUGUGUGAAGAAGGCCUUCGGGUUGUAAAGCACUUUUGUCCGGAAAGAAAUCAUUCUGGCUAAUACCCGGAGUGGAUGACGGUACCGGAAGAAUAAGCACCGGCUAACUACGUGCCAGCAGCCGCGGUAAUACGUAGGGUGCGAGCGUUAAUCGGAAUUACUGGGCGUAAAGCGUGCGCAGGCGGUUUGCUAAGACCGAUGUGAAAUCCCCGGGCUCAACCUGGGAACUGCAUUGGUGACUGGCAGGCUAGAGUAUGGCAGAGGGGGGUAGAAUUCCACGUGUAGCAGUGAAAUGCGUAGAGAUGUGGAGGAAUACCGAUGGCGAAGGCAGCCCCCUGGGCCAAUACUGACGCUCAUGCACGAAAGCGUGGGGAGCAAACAGGAUUAGAUAC
rnacentral:rRNA from 1 species